rnacentral:rRNA from 1 species
AUUGAACGCUGGCGGAAUGCUUUACACAUGCAAGUCGAACGGUAGAGGGGGCAACCCCUCGAGAGUGGCGAACGGGUGAGUAAUAUAUCGGAACGUGCCCAGUCGUGGGGGAUAACGUAGCGAAAGUUACGCUAAUACCGCAUACGAUCUAAGGAUGAAAGCGGGGGAUCGCAAGACCUCGCGCGAUUGGAGCGGCCGAUAUCAGAUUAGGUAGUUGGUGGGGUAAAGGCUCACCAAGCCAACGAUCUGUAGCUGGUCUGAGAGGACGACCAGCCACACUGGAACUGAGGCACGGUCCAGGCUCCUACGGGAGGCAGCAGUGGGGAAUUUUGGACAAUGGACGCAAGUCUGAUCCAGCCAUUCCGCGUGCAGGAUGAAGGCCCUCGGGUUGUAAACUGCUUUUGUACGGAACGAAAAGGUCUCUCUUAAUACGGGGGACUCAUGACGGUACCGUAAGAAUAAGCACCGGCUAACUACGUGCCAGCCGCCGCCGUAA